AGCUCCUCUGGCUCUGUGUACCAGUCUGGCCUUCGAUGUGUCUCUGUGACGGCUGGGAGCAGUCCAGUCCCUCCUUCCCCUCCAACUACAAAUACAACUACAACUACAAAUACAACUACAGCAACAAAUACAACUACAGCAACAAAUACAACUACACCUCCACAACCCACAGGAAUUUCACCUCCAACACCUUUCAACCCAAACUCAACACUAGACUCAGAGUCAUAUUAUGUUUUGGCUCUGAAUGCAAAGCUUUCCACUUCACUGUCACUGAAGAAUGAAUCUGCAACCAUCAUCAACCUGAUUAAAGAGGAGCUGGAAAGGCAAGGACUGCCAGCAGGAAUAAUCGUAGAGCUGCUAAACAGUGGUGCCGUGCAAGUCGCCCCCUAGUGGCUGAACAAAAGAAAUAAUCUGUUCCUCAUUGGRAAAUGUGUUUUAAUAUAAAAUGUUUUCUUUAACCUUUGAUUCAUAGAGUUAUACUUAUUUUAAUGAAUCAUAAGGAGUCAGAUAAUUCUCAGUUAUUCAGCAAUUAAGCCAAACUGAGUGAAAUAAAAUUUUAAUACUUUCCUUUGGCCUCAUAAGAGUAUAAAGUAUGUUAAGAGGCAGUUUCUAAAUAAAAUCUUGGUUGUUAAUUUUCAGAGUAAUUUGAUAACUGGGCUCUUCCAUGUAACAUAGGUUGACUUCAUAAUCCCAGAUUUGCUUCAAGAUGUUAAAUUCAAAGUUUUUAGUUAUAUCAAUGACUCUUUGUUCUUCUUUGCACUGGUUAUAAUUCUUGAUGUUGUUGGCUGCAGGUUUUCGCUUUUUUUUUUUUUUUUUUUU